CUUUGCAACACGUAUUUUUUUUUCGGUAUAUUUUUGAUGUAUUGUUUACGAGGAUAAACAUGACACGAACAGAGAAUAAAAAUCCGAUGCCGUACUCGCCGUAGGCCAACCUCCACGACCUAUAGCGGCAUUUGAUAAGGCAACGAUUGCUAUCGGCCACCACGGACCAACGUGUGUUAAAACCUUCUGAGAUUAUUUUCAUGUUGUCCCUAAUAUAACCAAUAUUUUAAGUGUGUUGUUACUAUUUAUGAAUUAAAAGUUUUAUAAAUAA